UACGGGGGGAGCAAGCGUUGUUCGGAUUUACUGGGCGUAAAGGGCGCGUAGGCGGCCACCGCAAGUCGACUGUGAAAUCUCCGGGCUUAACCCGGAGCGGUCAAGUGAUACUGUCGUGCUAGAGUGCAGAAGGGGCAACUGGAAUUCUCGGUGUAGCGGUGAAAUGCGUAGAUAUCGAGAGGAACACCUGCGGCGAAGGCGGGUUGCUGGGCUGACACUGACGCUGAGGCGCGAAAGCUAGGGGAGCGAACGGG
rnacentral:rRNA from 1 species